rnacentral:rRNA from 1 species
GACGUAGGGAGCGAGCGUUGUCCGGAUUCAUUGGGCGUAAAGCGUGCGUAGGCGGUCUGUUAAGUCCGUUGUGAAAGCCCUGGGCUCAACCUGGGAAUUGCAGUGGAUACUGGCAGGCUAGAGUACGGUAGAGGAUGGUGGAAUUCCCGGUGUAGCGGUGAAAUGCGUAGAGAUCGGGAGGAACACCCGUGGCGAAGGCGGCCAUCUGGACCAGUACUGACGCUGAGGCACGAAAGCGUGGGGAGCAAACAGG